rnacentral:rRNA from 1 species
GGAAUAUUGCACAAUGGGCGCAAGCCUGAUGCAGCCAUGCCGCGUGUAUGAAGAAGGCCUUCGGGUUGUAAAGUACUUUCAGCGGGGAGGAAGGCGACGGGGUUAAUAACCUUAUCGAUUGACGUUACCCGCAGAAGAAGCACCGGCUAACUCCGUGCCAGCAGCCGCGGUAAUACGGAGGGUGCAAGCGUUAAUCGGAAUUACUGGGCGUAAAGCGCACGCAGGCGGUCUGUUAAGUCAGAUGUGAAAUCCCCGGGCUUAACCUGGGAACUGCAUUUGAAACUGGCAGGCUUGAGUCUUGUAGAGGGGGGUAGAAUUCCAGGUGUAGCGGUGAAAUGCGUAGAGAUCUGGAGGAAUACCGGUGGCGAAGGCGGCCCCCUGGACAAAGACUGACGCUCAGGUGCGAAAGCGUGGGGAGCAAACAGGAUUAGAUACCCUUG